CCAGAGGGCCGGCCAGUCGCUCGUGGCUGCUUUUGCAGCUGCGGGAGGAAAGUCCGGGCUCCACGAUAUAUGGGUGCCGGAUAACUUCCGGCGAGGGUGACCUCAGGGACAGUGCAACAGAAAGCAGGUCGCGUUGGUUUCGGCUGCGUGACAUUGAAAGGGUGCGGUAAGAGCGCACCGCGGGACUGGCGACAGGACCGGCACGGUAAACCCCACCCGGAGCAAAACCAAAUAGGGGCGGCAAAUGGCGAUAUCGGCCUGCUGCCCGGGUUGGUUGCUGGAGCGGUGCAGCAAUGCAUCGCCGAGAUGAAUGGCUGGCUAUUCCGUUAUGCGGAUGGACAGAACCCGGCUUACAGGCCCUCUGGCAUU
rnacentral:RNase_P_RNA from 2 species